ACGGACGUGUGGCUAGGCUAUGUGACAUAGCCAAGACCAUGUGAGCAUUUGAAGUAUGGACACACGAUCGUGUCACAACCCGUGUGUCCGCCCGUGUGGGUAUUCAAACUAGGGCCACAUGGUUGUGUGCCAAACCGUGUGCAUAUUCGAAAUAUGGCCAUACGACCGUGUCUCAUGCUGUGGUACAUAGUAACUUGAAACACACGACCGUGUAGGUUGACUGCGCGUGGCACACGAUCGUGUGACAGCUCGUGUCCCAGAUCGUGUGCUUCAUAAUUUGCCCCUAAAACAAGCCAAUUCUAACCCUAAAACUUGCACACUAGGACACAUCAUUUGCAUAUGCAUUCAUAUGUCCAAAAUACAUUCAAAUACUCUCCAAAAUAUACCAAAUCAACCAUCC
rnacentral:lncRNA from 1 species